UGGUAACAGUGGAGAUCAAAAUUAAAGAAGAUGUCUGCGAUAUCAGCUCUGAAUGUUGCUUAACAUGCAGGGGGAAGAGGCUACACAGUAUCUCAUAGGGAACAAAGAUAAAUUUCAAGCUGUUGGGUAUGUUUCAGAGACCCAAGGCUAUCAGACUUCCACCUAUGUCGGCGAUAAAAUUUAUUUAAUUGGAGGAUCUGAGGAAUAUGCUGGCUCAGUGAUUGGAGUCAAAAUUCUUGAUAAGUUAACAUGAAAAUUCCUUAAUCUCCACUGUCGUUAUUCCUUCCUACUAUAUCCGCCGAAGCCGAAGAGAUCAUCCGUUACCUAAGCGCCUUCCUCUCCGCUGAAGCCGAAGAGUUCAUCUGUUAAUCUUCUCGCCGUCCCACGAACUUCCACUCACUCAACAGCCAUGGCUGCAUUAUCUCCUCCUCAAAUCUACUUCCUUAUCUCUUCAUUUCCUAACCCUAAUAAUUCGAUCCGUACUCACAAAAUACCAGCUUCCUCCCCAAAAUCGAAGAAAGAAGCCGACUUUUCUUCUCGAACUGUUCACUGCUCGGCGGCGAACAAGUCCUCGUCAUCCGCUGAGAUUCAAGCGACAAGAGUUUAAAUAUACGAACAACACCUAUAUUGCGACUAUAAAAAGAAGCGUUCGUCUUCUUUCCCCGCGCAAAAUCGCUCGAUUUGUCGAUUGAAUCCGGUUAAGGUCACCACUAAUCUCACCAGAGGCCAGGUAUACCUUUCCUCAAUUUUAAUUUUAAUUUUUUUACUUUUUUCUACCGAUGAAAUUGUUGAUAGCACCCUAAAAAUGGGAGCUAUUUUGUCUGUAUAUUGGAACUUAUAUGUAGGAUAAAUUAGGUCUGCUGUGGCUGUAAGAUAAGGAACAUAGCAAUAAACUGAUUGUUCCAGGAUUGUCUAACUGUGGACA